UGACGUCAUUUCCUGAGGACCCCGCCAGCACCAGCACUCUAAUAAGAAAGUAUAGCGCCAUCAACCUGAUCAAACCUGCAAGGUCCUCACGCUCGUGCCUGAUGGGGAAAAAAACCAAAUGUACAAUAGACCCUACCCAGUGCCAUAUAUUGAGUCACGACACUCCCAUAGGGAUCCAUUAUACGAUUUUACUUCCGGGUACUUCCGUGUUAUGGAGCCUUGGAUAGUUACAAACAUCGCAUUUGUCAUGGCGGACACCAUUCAUUUGAACGGCAGGCUGUCAAGUAUAUUCGGAGAGGCCCUUUGUGACAUACACUUAUCUGUGCGUAUUGGAAGACAACCGGCUUUUAUGUGCUUGUUAGCGCGAUUUUAGUUAAUGCAUGGCAACCUGUUUUCUUAAUAUUGAAAUCGUUGAUAUUUCCUCCCUUUCAGCUUUGAUGCACAUGGAUUGAAUUCUCAAUCGCAGCCUAAUCUGCUCCACAACAUUGGAGGAUUCCAUGAUGGAAUCAUUCGUAACCAAACGGAACAGAUGCUCGACAUCCUUUAAGAGAGUGAAGACCUAAUCCGAUGGCCGGUGCUUCAACCAAUGCACACUGGCAUUGGUUGCAGAGUGAGAAGCUGAUGACCCUCUUCACUAUGCAUCCUGCCAGAUGUUGCCAUUUUGCCUGACAGCGUGGUCCCUGGUGCAUCUGGGCCUAGUGUUGUGGCGCCACCGCUGGUUCCUGAUUGGUCGGCACCCGGCUCAUCCACCCCUGGAUCACCUGGCCUGGAUACGUCAUUGUCAUUGUGCUCACUUUCGCCCAACCUUCCCACCUCAAUUUCUCCCUGAAUGUCUGUAACAAUAACAAGGCAUUCUUAAUUUUAUAUGCAGUCAGUGUUUUUACAUUUGCACCUAUUGUCAUCUCCAAAGUAAGGGUACACUACACUCCUAAAGGGAAAAGAAAAAAUAACGGACAUUACUGUUACAUGAAUCAAAUCAUCUGCCACAAUCAGAAACUGCUAUGGCAUUGCCAUGUGUCAACAGUCUGGUGAUAUCAUGGAGUUGGUUCUGCUUUGCUGUUGUAUCCACCAGAAAUGUUUAGUUAUAGGUGAAAAUUAAAUGCAUAAAUAAAGCUAAAUUAUGAAGUAACUAACAAUGAAGUAGAUCGAAAUUUUGUGUGUAAAUCCCAGGACAAUUCCUGACCUCUUGUAUUUGAAGCUGAAUGUAUUAAUAUGAAAAAUGUAAUUAUCUUAUUAGGAGUGUAGUUUAUCCUUGAAUUACUUGGCAUGGGAAAUGUUGUUGACAGCUGGUCUGUAUCAUACCCAAGUUUAACCUGGUGCAAUAUGUAUGGUCUAUUUGAAUUUUGGUUGGAGGCACACUCCUAAAGGGAAGUUUCCUCCUCUUUGGCUUCGAACGAUGAAUGAAAAUGGUUGGGACAGCAUCUGGCCUCAAUUUUAAUGUGUGCCCUACUUUCGUUGGCGUAAACUGGUCCUCCUCAAAGUGUUCCUGAUGUUUGGUUCGCAAGAUCAGUUUCCAUUCUACUUAAAAUUUUUAAAAAAAAUUUAAAAGUCAUAAUACCGUGACUUACAUGACAGAGUUUAUAGUUGUUGCUGGCCCCCUUCAAUUUCAGAUUUUUACGGCUGACCAUUGCCAGCCAUCGUUUCUGCCGGUCUUUGUCCUUCGGGAAACCAUACAUUCGGUAGCCCUUUUCAGACCGAUUGGUGCAUCCAAAAGCUGCACAACCAACCAUCACGAUCUCUAAAAUGUUAGGUUUGAACACUGAAUCAUGACACCCAAUUUUACCUAUUUAAUAAAAAAUAUUACUGUAAUAUUAAAUAUUUUCUUUAUCAAAGGGUAAUACGUUAUGUAAUAUAUUACCACAGGUAAGUGUAUCAA